rnacentral:rRNA from 1 species
AAAUUGAAGAGUUUGAUCAUGGCUCAGAUUGAACGCUGGCGGCAGGCCUAACACAUGCAAGUCGAACGGUAACAGGAAGCAGCUUGCUGCUUCGCUGACGAGUGGCGGACGGGUGAGUAAUGUCUGGGAAACUGCCUGAUGGAGGGGGAUAACUACUGGAAACGGUAGCUAAUACCGCAUAAUGUCGCAAGACCAAAGAGGGGGACCUUCGGGCCUCUUGUCAUCGGAUGUGCCCAGAUGGGAUUAGCUUGUUGGUGGGGUAACGGCUCACCAAGGCGACGAUCCCUAGCUGGUCUGAGAGGAUGACCAGCCACACUGGAACUGAGACACGGUCCAGACUCCUACGGGAGGCAGCAGUGGGGAAUAUUG